rnacentral:rRNA from 1 species
AAUAUGGGACAAUGGGCGAAAGCCUGAUCCAGCCAGGCCGCGUGUGUGAAGAAGGUCUUCGGAUUGUACAGCACUUUAAGUUGGGAGGAAGGGCUUUAGGUUAGUACCCUGAAGUUUUGACGUUACCAACAUAAUAAGCACCGGCUAACUUCCUGCCAGCAGCCGCGGUAAUACGAAGGGUGCAAGCGUUAAUCGGAAUUACUGGGCGUAAAGCGCGCGUAGGUGGUUUGUCAAGUUGGAAGUGAAAGCCCCGGGCUCAACCUGGGAACUGCUUUCAAAACUGGCAAGCUAGAGUAUGGUAGAGGGUGGUGGAAUUUCCUGUGUAGCGGUGAAAUGCGUAGAUAUAGGAAGGAACACCAGUGGCGAAGGCGACCACCUGGGCUAAUACUGACACUGAGGUGCGAAAGCGUGGGGAGCAAAC